rnacentral:rRNA from 1 species
GGCUUUUUGAGUAUAAUUUAAAGUCGGGCCUGCCCAAUGAUUAAUUAAAUGGCCGCGGUAUAUUGACCGUGCAAAGGUAGCAUAAUCAUUAGUUUUUUAAUUGAAAGCUUGUAUGAAGGGUUUAAUGAAAAAAAUACUGUCUCUAUUUAAAUUUGUUAGAAUUUUAUAUUUAAGUUAAAAAGCUUAGAUUUAUAUUGAAGACGAGAAGACCCUAUAGAGUUUUAUAUUUUAUGUAAUAAUGAGUUGUUAAGAAUUUUUAAUAUUUAUUACUUAAAGUAUUUAAUUGGGGUGAUUGAAAAAUUAGUUUAACUUUUUUUGUAUUGAUACAUUGAUUAAUGAAUUAAUGAACCUUUGUUUAAGAUUAAAAGAUAAAAUUACCUUAGGGAUAACAGCGUAAUUUUUUUUAGAGUUCUUAUCGAAAGAAAAGAUUGCGACCUCGAUGUUGGAUUAAAAUUAAUUAUUGGUGUAGAAGCUAAUAAAUUAGGUCUGUUCGA